UACGUAGGGGGCAAGCGUUGUCCGGAUUCAUUGGGCGUAAAGCGCACGUAGGCGGAUUGGUCAGUUAGGGGUGAAAUCCUGGAGCUCAACUCCAGAACUGCCUUUAAUACUGCCAGUCUCGAGUCCGGAAGAGGUAAGUGGAACUCCUAGUGUAGAGGUGGAAUUCGUAGAUAUUAGGAAGAACACCAGUGGCGAAGGCGGCUUACUGGUCCGGUACUGACGCUGAGGUGCGAAAGCGUGGGGGAGCAAACAGG
rnacentral:rRNA from 1 species